rnacentral:lncRNA from 1 species
UAAAAGGUCACUUCAAAGAGAGGUGGGACCCAAGAGUGUCUGUUGUUACAAAUGCGUGUUUAGGAAGUGGACAGAGGGGUUUGCUGUGAGGCUCUCGCUUGGCAGCUCUGCAGGAGGAGGAGGAAGGAACGGCCUAGGCCUCUGGAAUGUGCUUAGAGGCCCACAGCCAGGUCAGGGCGAUCGAUCCCAACAGGGCAGAUGCAGAGGCUGCUGGUCAGUGCUGCUGGCUGGGCACAGAGGCGGGAAGAGCCAGGACAACAAAGCAGGGGAAGGAGGGUGGUCGAACACCCCCAGGGCAAGAACAAUGCAGGAGAGGAAGCGCUCAGCACCCACAGUGCACCACCUUCGCCCACACAGCUCCUGAGCCAGGAGAAGACUCCU